rnacentral:rRNA from 1 species
UUUGACUGAGUGGCGGACGGGUGAGUAACGCGUGGGUAACCUGCCUUGUACAGGGGGAUAACAGUUGGAAACGGCUGCUAAUACCGCAUAAGCGCACAGUACCGCAUGGUACGGUGUGAAAAACUCCGGUGGUAUGAGAUGGACCCGCGUCUGAUUAGGUAGUUGGUGGGGUAACGGCCUACCAAGCCGACGAUCAGUAGCCGACCCGAGAGGGUGACCGGCCACAUUGGGACUGAGACACGGCCCAA